rnacentral:tRNA from 1 species
GCUCAGCUGGGAGAGCGCCUGCUUUGCACGCAGGAGGUCAGCGGUUCGAUCCCGCUAGUCUCCA